rnacentral:rRNA from 1 species
UGGGGAAUAUUGGACAAUGGGCGAAAGCCUGAUCCAGCCAUGCCGCGUGUGUGAAGAAGGUCUUCGGAUUGUAAAGCACUUUAAGUUGGGAGGAAGGGCAGUAAGCGAAUACCUUGCUGUUUUGACGUUACCGACAGAAUAAGCACCGGCUAACUCUGUGCCAGCAGCCGCGGUAAUACAGAGGGUGCAAGCGUUAAUCGGAAUUACUGGGCGUAAAGCGCGCGUAGGUGGUUCGUUAAGUUGAAUGUGAAAGCCCCGGGCUCAACCUGGGAACGGCAUCCAAAACUGGCGAGCUAGAGGAGGGCAGAGGGUGGUGGAAUUUCCUGUGUAGCGGUGAAAUGCGUAGAUAUAGGGAGGAACACCAGUGGCGAAGGCGACCACCUGGGCUCAUACUGACACUGAGGUGCGAAAGCGUGGGGGGCAAACAGG